CUGUCCUCGGCCCCCUACUGUUCUCUAUCUAUACUGCCUCCCUUGGUAAACUCAUCAGCUCCUUUGGCGUCCAAUACCAUUUACAUGCAGAUGACACGCAAAUCUACCUGUCCUCCCCUGAUCUCUCUCCGCCCACCUUGACUCGUGUUUCUGACUGCCUCUCUGCUAUUUCCAACUGGAUGGCUGCUCACUUCCUUAAACUCAACCUGUCCAAAACAGAACUUCUAGUUUUUCCUCCCUCAAGUGCUGCUACUCCUGUGUGUCUCCAUCCAAGUCAACGGCGCUACUAUCACCUCUACCUCACAGGCUCGCUGCCUAGGGGUUCUUUUUGAUUCUGAUCUCUCUUUUACUCCCCAUGUCCAAUCGAUAGCCAAAUCCUGUCACUUCCAACUCAAGAACAUAGCGCGCAUCCGCCCAUAUCUAACGCCGGACGUGGCUAAGCUACUGGUUCAUGCUGAUGUUCUCUCUCGCCUUAACUACUGCAAUCCCCUUCUCACCGGUCUUACAUGUUCCCAGCUUGCACCGCUGCAAUCUAUAAUGAAUGCGGCUGCGAGGCUUAUUUUCCUGUCCGGUUGCACCUCCCACGACCUCCAGGCUCUGUCAGUCCCUGCAUUGGCUUCCAGUUCGAUAUAGGGCCCAAUUCAAAAUUCUGGCGCUUGCUUAUAAAUCCCUACAUAAUGCUGCUCCAACAUACCUAUCCUCCCUCAUACACAAGUAUGUCCCGUCGAGACCCCUGCACUCAGCCCAAGACCUACGCCUAUCCUCUGCCCGGAUCCCCACCUCUGAUGCUCGCCUUCAAGACUUCUCCAGGGCUGCACCUAUUCUGUGGAACUCCCUUCCCUCCUCAAUCAGAC